rnacentral:rRNA from 1 species
CAGGAUGAACGCUAGCGACAGGCCUAACACAUGCAAGUCGAGGGGCAGCACAAGGAGCAAUCUGAGGUGGCGACCGGCGCACGGGUGAGUAACACGUAUGCAACCUGCCUGUAAGCGGGGAAUAACCCGUUGAAAGACGGACUAAUACCGCAUAAUACUAAAUUACUGCAUGGUAAUUUAUUUAAACAUUUAUGGCUUACAGAUGGGCAUGCGCAUGAUUAGCUAGUUGGAGAGGUAACGGCUCCCCAAGGCAACGAUCAUUAGGGGUUCUGAGAGGAAGGUCCCCCACACUGGUACUGAGACACGGACCAGACUCCUACGGGAGGCAGCAGUGAGGAAUAUUGGUCAAUGGACGAGAGUCUGAACCAGCCAAGUCGCGUGCAGGAAGAAUGUCCUUAAUGGAUUGUAAACUGCUUUUGCAGGGGAAUAAAGUGUAUCACGUGUGAUGUUUUGUAUGUACUCUGCGAAUAAGGAUCGGCUAACUCCGUGCCAGCAGCUGC